rnacentral:rRNA from 1 species
UACGUAGGCAGCGAGCGUUGUUCGGAGUUACUGGGCGUAAAGGGUGUGUAGGCGGUUCUUUAAGUUUGGUGUGAAAUCUCCCGGCUUAACCGGGAGGGUGCGCCGAAUACUGAGGGACUUGGAGUGCGGGAGAGGAAAGUGGAAUUCCUGGUGUAGCGGUGAAAUGCGCAGAUAUCAGGAGGAACACCAAUGGCGAAGGCAGCACUCUGGGACGUGACUGACGCUGAGACGCGAAAGCGUGGGGAGCAAACAGG